UACAGAGGGUGCAAGCGUUAAUCGGAAUUACUGGGCGUAAAGCGAGCGUAGUCGGUUAUUUAAGUCGGAUGUGAAAUCCCCGGGCUCAACCUGGGAAUUGCAUUCGAUACUGGAUAGCUAGAGUUCGGCAGAGGGAAGCGGAAUUUCGGGUGUAGCGGUGAAAUGCGUAGAUAUCUGGAGGAACACCGGUGGCGAAGGCGGCGUCCUGGACCAACACUGACACUGAUGAGCGAAAGCCAGGGGAGCAAACGGG
rnacentral:rRNA from 1 species